UACGUAGGGCGCGAGCGUUGUCCGGAAUUAUUGGGCGUAAAGAGCUCGUAGGCGGCCUGUUGCGUCCGCUGUGAAAUCCCAGGGCUCAACCCUGGGCGUGCAGUGGAUACGGGCAGGCUGGAGGCAGGCAGGGGAGAACGGAAUUCCCGGUGUAGCGGUGAAAUGCGCAGAUAUCGGGAAGGAACACCCGGUGGCGAAGGCGG
rnacentral:rRNA from 1 species